rnacentral:rRNA from 1 species
GAUGAACGCUAGCGGCAGGCCUAACACAUGCAAGUCGAGGGAGAAGCCCUUUCGGGGGCAGAAACCGGCGCACGGGUGCGUAACGCGUAUGCAACCUACCUUUCACAGGGGGAUAGCCCGAAGAAAUUUGGAUUAAUACCCCAUAAUAUUAUUGGAUGGCAUCAUUUGAUAAUUAAAACUGCGGUGGUGAAAGAUGGGCAUGCGUCCUAUUAGCUAGUUGGAGUGGUAACGGCACCCCAAGGCUACGAUAGGUAGGGGUCCUGAGAGGGAGAUCCCCCACACUGGUACUGAGACAGGGACCAGACUCCUACGGGAGGCAGCAGUGAGGAAUAUUGGUCAAUGGUCGGAAGACUGAACCAGCCAUGCCGCGUGCAGGAAGAAUGCCUUAUGGGUUGUAAACUGCCUUUAUAUGGGAAGAAUAAGGCGUACGUGUACGUUGAUGACGGUACCAUAUGAAUAAGCAUCGGCUAACUCCGUG